UGAAGUUAAAGNCAUUGGCUCAACCAAUGUAUGCUUUGGAAACUGUUAGACUNGAGUGCAGAAGGGGAGAGUGGAAUUCCAUGUGUAGCGGUGAAAUGCGUAGAUAUAUGGAGGANCACCGGUGGCGAAAGCGGCUCUNUGGUCUGUCACUGACGCUGAGGCUCGAAAGCGUGGGUAGCGAACAGGAUUAGAUACCCUGGUAGUNCACGCCGUAAACGCUGAGUGCUAGGUGUUAGGUCCUUUCCGGGACUUAGUGCCGACGCUAACGCAUUAAGCACUCCGCCUGGGGAGUACGACCGCAAGGUUGAAACUCAAAGGAAUUGACGGGGGCCCGCACAAGCGGUGGAGCAUGUGGUUUAAUUCGAAGCAACGCGAAGAACCUUACCAGGUCUUGACAUCCCGAUGCCCGCUCUAGAGAUAGAGUUUUUCUUCGGAACAUCGGAGACAGGUGGUGCAUGGUUGUCGUCAGCUCGUGUCGUGAGAUGUUGGGUUAAGUCCCGCAACGAGCGCAACCCUUAUUGUUAGUUGCCAUCAUUAAGUUGGGCACUCUAGCGAGACUGCCGGUAAUAAACCGGAGGAAGGUGGGGAUGACGUCAAAUCAUCAUGCCCCUUAUGACCUGGGCUACACACGUGCUACAAUGGUUGGUACAACGAGUCGCAAGCCGGUGACGGCAAGCUAAUCUCUGAAAGCCAAUCUCAGUUCGGAUUGUAGGCUGCAA
rnacentral:rRNA from 1 species